ACCAACAUAACGCCACAAAAAGAUCGAAAUUCGAAUAUACGUAACCCGCGAAAAUUCAAAAUUCGCGAUACUUUUUGAACACACCUCGUAUGGAACAGAGUGGUAUUUCUUGAAUAUCCUUUCUAGAGAAACAAAAAUCUACUUGCGUAGUUAUUCUCUACUUUCUCAUAAUUCCUUCGCAAAGCAGUGUAUGUACACGAAGAAAUGGCGAGACUAAAGAGAUUUUUUUUUCACCCGACAACAUACAGUUGAUCGAUGAAUAAUUAACAUUGUUGAACGUGUCACAUGUAUAUAUAUAUAUAUAUAUCGAUGAUAGUAUUGUGUGACCAUUUAUUUUUUAACUAUUAAAACUAUAUGCAUGUAAAAUCAAAGAACAUAGGGAAAUGAAAGAAAUGAAUAAACAUUUUCCUCUUUAAAAUUGUUCUUGUCUCUGUUCAUUUUACUUAAGACAGCACGUAUAAGACUUGCGUAGUCUGUUGUCACACAAAUUCUUUCACGAAGCAUUACCUUACGAGAAAUAAACAUCUGUUGUAUUAUUGCCAUAGUGAAAUCGAUCGUUUACACCCCUUGCGAAAUAAAAGUAUAAAUUAUUUUCCUUUCACAGUGCUCUAACGGAACAUGGUAUCAUGUGAAUAUUCUGUUUUCAUGCAGAAUAUCUAUAAUAUGCUCAAAAUAUUUUUUAUACCAUCUCUAUAGAAUAUUAUUUUUUGUAUGUUGUCAGGAUAUGCUAAAGAUAUUAUAAAUAUACUUUGCUACUUGUACUACUUUUCGAUAUUAUUUGUUUUAUAUUUACUGUAAUUAUUGUAUUAUAUUGAUCAUUCCUAUUUGUAUAUUUAUUUAAUUUUAAACGAAUAAUAGGAAAGUUAUUCUAGAUGUUAUUCCGCAAUUUGUGAAAAUCAGUAAAAAAACUAUAAUUUUAUAUAGAUAUGUUUAUAUAAAUAAUAUGCUUUAAUUAUAUAUGUUUCAUCUUUUCGAUAACAUACUUAGAUCUAUCAUUUAUACACAUGUAUAACUAGAUAAUAAAAAUUUUUGGAAAUAUAGAUUUCAAUAUAUAUGUAUAUAUAAAUAUGAUAUAAAUAUAAUUUUUCUUGAGCUUAAUCAAAAGAAUAACAACAAAAUUUUGUUAAAACAAUAUAUAAAAUGUUUGUUGGAGCAACUGCAUCAUAUGAAUGAUGAGUUGACAAGAACAAAAUUAAUAUUAUAAAAAGAGUAUGAUAGUUUUGCGAAACGGUAUACGGUUGCGUUAUUAUAUAUAUAUAUAUAUAUAUGUAAGGCAAUUGCUUCUAUUGCAUGCAAUUUAUAUUAAAUAAGACAUAUGUCAAAAGUUAGGGCCGGUGGAGUGCCAAAAAGAAACAAAGUAAAAAAAAGAGCUUUUAUGAUACAAUAAUUGUACCUACUUUUUUUUUUUAUCUUAGUCACAAUUAUUUUUUAAGCACUUUUGAUAUAGGAAACAAACUUUUUUUAAGUUUUCUGUAUAAAAAUUCGCUCGACUUCAUAUUACGUUAAUAACUAUAUGCACAUAUUAUAUAUUUAUUAGAUCUUUGUUUCUGAAUGUAAUAAGCAUUACGUUUAAUGUGGUAAAAUUGUUCACAAAUUUUCUUUUCUCAACUAUUAAUUCAUUAUGAUGUAGAUACAACGCUUACAAGAUGAGGACCCGACAAUGAUCUCGCCGAUUUUAAAAUUUUAUAGAAAAACGAUUCUCAAGUAAGCAGCGUGGCGUAGGGCAUAAGGACGUCGACUGGUAUGUUUGGGAUCAUCCCAGGUUCCAUCCCCGCAGAUGCGACUUUUCUUAUGUUAUAUUUUUUAAUUGUUAUAUAUAAUUUUUUAUCCGUUUUUAAUUAUUUAAUAUAAAAUGUUAAUUUUAAAAAAUUAGGAAAUUUAAAAAUGCUUUUUUAUUAUUAAUUAAAUUAAAAUUUUUUAUGAUUUGCAGCGGUAAGCGCAGCGAGUCCGGAGGGUAAGACUAUGAUUAUUAUCUAUUAAUUAAUUAUUGCCUUUGUCUUAUAAUCUUUUAACAUUUUUGAAGAUGUCGUUUCAGUCGUGGAACUUUUGCACUUAUUAAUAUUUUACAAGCAGUACAUUUCUACUUAUUAUUAUCAACAGCUAGAAUUAGGAUCAAAACAAACCGACACAAUGUCUUUGUGUCUAUCCUAAUGUACUUUUCGUAUUACUCAUGUUAAAUGAUUGGUUCAUCAAUAAACAAUAAAUAAAUAAAUAAAUAUAUAAAUACUUAAA